rnacentral:rRNA from 1 species
UACGGAAGGGGCAAGCGUUGUUCGGAAUCAUUGGGCGUAAAGGGCGCGUAGGUGGUUCUGUAUGUCUACCGUGAAAGCGUACGGCUCAACCGUACUUUGUCGGUGGAAACUGCAGGACUUGAGGCUGGGAGGGGCUGGUGGAAUUCCCUGUGUAGCGGUGAAAUGCGUAGAGAUGGGGGAGAACACUCGUGGCGAAGGCGGCCAGCUAGACCAGUUCUGACACUGAGGCGCGACAGCGUGGGGAGCAAACAGG